UGAGGAAUAUUGGUCAAUGGGGGCAACCCUGAACCAGCCAAGUCGCGUGAAGGAUGAAGGUCUUAUGGAUUGUAAACUUCUUUUACACGGGAAUAAAGUGGGGGACGUGUCCCCCUUUGCAUGUACCGUGUGAAUAAGGAUCGGCUAACUCCGUGCCAGCAGCCGCGGUAAUACGGAGGAUCCGAGCGUUAUCCGGAUUUAUUGGGUUUAAAGGGUGCACAGGCGGGAUGUUAAGUCGGCGGUGAAAUUUUGCAGCUCAACUGUAAAAGUGCCUUCGAUACUGGCCUCCUUGAGUGUGGAUGAAGUAGGCGGAAUUUGUGGUGUAGCGGUGAAAUGCUUAGAUAUCACGAGGAACUCCGAUUGCGCAGGCAGCUUACUAAGCCACAACUGACGCUCAUGCACGAAGGCGUGGGGAUCAAACA
rnacentral:rRNA from 1 species